rnacentral:rRNA from 1 species
UGCAAGUCGAACGCGAAAGGAGAACUUCGGUUUUCCAAGUAGAGUGGCGAACGGGUGAGUAACGCGUAGGUAAUCUACCUUCAAAUGGGGGAUAGCCCAGGGAAACCUGGAUUAAUACCGCAUGUGACCCUUCGGGGUUAAAGAUGGCCUCUGUUUCAAGCUGUUGUUUGAAGAUGAGCCUGCGUCCUAUUAGCUAGUUGGUAGGGUAAAAGCGUACCAAGGCGAUGAUAGGUAGGCGGCUUUAACGAGUGGUCGCCCACAAUGGGAUUGAGAUACGGCCCAGACUCCUACGGGAGGCAGCAGUCGAGAAUAGUCUACAAUGGUCGAAAGACUGAUAGUGCGACGCCGCGUGAACGAAGAAGCAUUUCGGUGUGUAAAGUUCUUUUCUAUGUGAGCAAGUUUGUUUAGGUGAAUAGCUUGGGCAAAUCGAUAUUAGCAUAGGAAUAAGCCACGGCUAACUCCGUGCCAGCAGCCGCGGUACCACGGGGGUGGCGAGCGUUGUCCGGAAUUACUAGGCGUAAAGGUGCAAUAAGGCGGAUAUGUAAGUCAGGUGUAAAAGCACAGCCUCCACCUGGGUGACCCAUUGAUACUGGGUAUCUAGAGUAGGGGGAGGGAAACG